UACCUCACGAUGUAUUGAUGUAGCGUUGG
rnacentral:piRNA from 1 species